CCCUUAGAUGUUCUGGGCCGCACGCGCGCUGCACUGAAGGGAUCAGCGUGUUUUCCCUUUCCGAGAGGAACGGGUAACCCGCUGAACCCCCUUCGUGGUAGGGAUCGGAGCUUGCAAUUGUUCUCCGUGAACCAGGAAUUCCCAGUAAGCGCAAGUCAUAAGCUUGCGUUGAUUACGUCCCUGCCCUUUGUACACACCGCCCGUCGCUACUACCGAUUGAACGUUUUAGUGAGGUAUUUGGACUGGGCCUUGGGAGGUUUCGGCCUCCCUUGUUGCUCGGAAAGACUCCCAAACUUGAGCGUUUAGAGGAAGUAAAAGUCGUAACA
rnacentral:rRNA from 1 species